rnacentral:rRNA from 1 species
CGCCCGAAGCCGAUUAUCUAACCUUUUGGAAGAAGUCGUCGAAGGUGGAAUCAAUAACUGGGGUGAAGUCGUAACAAGGUAGCCGUAUCGGAAGGUGCGGCUGGAUCACCUCCUUUCUAAGGAGA